GGAUGUGAGGGCGAUCUGGCUGUGACAUCUGUCACCCCAUUGAUCACCAGGGUUGAUUCGGCUGAUCUGGCUGGCUAGGCGGGUGUCUCCUUCCUCCCUCACUGCUCCAUGUGUGCCCCUCCCGAAGCUGCACGCUUGGUGGAAGAGGACGACCAUCCCAGAUAGGAGUGGUAUGUCCCACAGA
rnacentral:sRNA from 1 species